rnacentral:rRNA from 1 species
AGCGAACGCUGGCGGCAGGCUUAACACAUGCAAGUCGAGCGGGCAUAGCAAUAUGUCAGCGGCAGACGGGUGAGUAACGCGUGGGAACGUACCUUUUGGUUCGGAACAACACAGGGAAACUUGUGCUAAUACCGGAUAAGCCCUUACGGGGAAAGAUUUAUCGCCGAAAGAUCGGCCCGCGUCUGAUUAGCUAGUUGGUGAGGUAAUGGCUCACCAAGGCGACGAUCAGUAGCUGGUCUGAGAGGAUGAUCAGCCACAUUGGGACUGAGACACGGCCCAAACUCCUACGGGAGGCAGCAGUGGGGAAUAUUGGACAAUGGGCGCAAGCUUGAUCCAGCCAUGCCGCGUGAGUGAUGAAGGCCCUAGGGUUGUAAAGCUCUUUUGUGCGGGAAGAUAAUGACGGUACCGCAAGAAUAAGCCCCCGCUAACUUCGUGCCAGCCGCCGCCGUAA